rnacentral:lncRNA from 1 species
GAGAGAACAGAACACGCGUGUGUGGGCUGCAUUGAAGACCAAGCUCGUGACCGUCCUGAUUGGUUACUUAGUUGCUGUGAGGGCUAAACACCGCUAAACGCUCGAUAAUCUCAGCUUGGCUCCAGGCAAAGCGCAGCAUUUCUUCAGAGAGAAAAAAACACACACACAAGUCAGAGAAGCGACAUGCGGCUGAGUAGGCAGUUGGAUUUCUGGAAUUAGUCUGAAUGGAAAACGAGCGGGUGGAACCUCCAACCUGGAAAGCUACGGUUACUGUACAUUUGCGCGUGGUGGCCCACGAUGGAUAACUGUCCGCUGGUUCAGGUGGAGGAGUGAACGGAAUAGGUGGAGAAGCUCUUCCUCGUCACGCAGACGUUGA